rnacentral:rRNA from 1 species
CAAUUAGAGGAAGUAAAAGUCGUAACAAGGUUUCCGUAGGUGAACCUGCGGAAGGAUCAUUAACGAGUAAACARGGGAGUUGUAGCUGGCCGCAAGGCAUGUGCACGCUCUCUACUCAAUCCAACCUUACACCUGUGCACCUAUUGUAGGUCGAGUGGCUGGACUUGUUCUGGUCGCUCUUCCUAUGUUUUACACAUACACUUGUAGUCUCAGAAUGUAAUCCGCGUAUAACGCAUUAUAAAACAACUUUCAACAACGGAUCUCUUGGCUCUCGCAUCGAUGAAGAACGCAGCGAAAUGCGAUAAGUAAUGUGAAUUGCAGAAUUCAGUGAAUCAUCGAAUCUUUGAACGCACCUUGCGCUCCUUGGUAUUCCGAGGAGCAUGCCUGUUUGAGUGUCAUGAAUAUCUCAACUCAUCCGGUUUUUAUUAACUGUGGUGGGCUUGGACUUGGAGGUAUGCUGGCUGACUAGUCGGCUCCUCUCUAAAUGUAUUAGCUGGACCUGUUACGGAUCAGUACUCGGUGUGAUAAUUGUCUACGCCGUGUCUGUGAAGUGCUUGAAUGGACUAGCUUCUAACCGUCUUCGGACAACUACUGACAUUUUGACCUCAAAUCAGGUAGGAUUACCCGCUGAACUUAAGCAUAUCA